rnacentral:rRNA from 1 species
GAUGAAUGCUGGCGGCGUGCCUAACACAUGCAAGUCGAGCGGCAGCGAGGGGUGCUUGCACCCUGUCGGCGAGCGGCGAACGGCUGAGUAACGCGUAGGAAUUUGCCCCAAAGUGAGGAAUAACUGCCCGAAAGGGUAGCUAAUGCCGCAUAUGGUCUUCGGAUUACAGGAUUUAUCCGCUUUGGGAGAAGCCUGCGUUGGAUUAGGUUGUUGGUAGGGUAAUGGCCUACCAAGCCGACGAUCCAUAGCUGGCCUGAGAGGAUGAUCAGCCAGACUGGAAGUGAGACACGGUCCAGAAUCCUACGGGAGGCAGCAGUGAGGAAUCUUCCACAAUGGGCGAAAGCCUGAUGGAGCAACGACGCGUGAAGGAUGAAGGCCUUCGGGUUGUAAACUUCUUUUAUGAGUGAAGAAUAUGACAGUAACUAAUGAAUAAGCACCGGCUAACUACGUG